CUUUCCCAGACCUCAUUUAAGGGUUGGAAGUGGGAGUAAGUGUUUAUUUUGCUGGUGAUCACUGUAUACUUGAGGCCUUCUGAAGCACAGGCUGCAGUAUCUCCACAUCAACUUGCUACGGUAUGUUGUCCACCAUAUGCUGAAGACUGGUUAUCUGCUCUGCAAAGAUGUCUUCCAUGGGCAACAGGGAACCUGCUCUGUCCUCUGGAGCACCUCCUUUAUCUGCUCUGGCAGCGUGUCCUGCAGUAUGCAUGUCUUGCAUUUGGACUGAGGCACCAGUUGAAAGGAGCAGGGCAAGAGGUGGAAGCUGAAGAUAAGCAAGCAAAGUGAAAGAAUAUAGGAAAUCACAGCACUGAAUAGAAGAAAUGGGGAAAAAGGUUUUUAAAAAAGAAGUGCUGCUGCUACAAAGGCUGAUACUCCAGUUGUACUUCUGCUGGCCAUUAAUGGGAACCAGAGGAGGACUAAGGCUGCUCCCUUGGUUGGCCUUAGUGAUGACCAUGAUCACCUGCCAAUGAAGAUGUUUUGACUUUUGCUUGCACAGUGACAAUGACUUGGCUUUAUGGAUAAGUGCAUGGUUUGCAUUGAUUUACAUCACAAAAAUAAAUCAGAUGAAACAG